UGGGGGAUAUUGCACAAUGGACGGAAGUCUGAUGCAGCGACGUCGUGUGGGGGAUGAAGGCCUUCGGGUUGUAAACUCCUUUCGCCCGCGGAAAAGGCAGGGUUUUGGCCUUGUUGAUGGUAGUGGGUAAAGAAGCGCCGGCUAACUACGUGCCAGCAGCCGCGGUAAUACGUAGGGCGCGAGCGUUGUCCGGAAUUAUUGGGCGUAAAGGGCUCGUAGGCGGUUUGUCGCGUCUAGCGUUUAAGGCUGGGGCUUAACCCGGGUUUGCGUUGGGUACGGGCAGGCUUGAGUGCGGUAGGGGUAACUGGAAUUCCUGGUGUAGCGGUGGAAUGCGCAGAUAUCAGGAGGAACACCGGUGGCGAAGGCGGGUUACUGGGCCGUUACUGACGCUGAGGAGCGAGAGCGUGGGGAGCGAACAGG
rnacentral:rRNA from 1 species